AUUGGUGUAAUGUGUUCAACCUUUCUGCGUCUUGUCCAAACUCUGGCAGCAGCAUUUUGAACCAAAUGGCGACCCCUAAUGCUUGACUGUGGUAAACCAGAGAAUUGAACAUUGCAGUGAUAUACUUGAAAUGAGACU